UGUGUUUAUUUCCACGGCCAAGCUUUGAUGGGGAGAACAUGUGAGGUGCUACCAGUGCCAUGGAGCUUAAAUGCUGAGAAUCCUCAGCAGAGCAGUGGCUGGCUCAAUGUGCAUCACACACACACACACACACACACACACACACGUGUAGACCCACACUCAGCUCCAUUCUGGAUUCACUACUGCUCACCCGAGGGAUUUCCCGUGAUCAAAGCCAGACUUUUGUUAGCCCAGGUGUUACAAAAAAUUGAAACAAAAAAAGGAGGAGAAGCUGAAGGUGAAUGCGGUCACAUUUGAAGUCCACAAGCUGUGGCAUUAAAAACAGCCACAGUGAGAGUGCCACCUGUUUAGGCUCUGUUAUAAAUGAGCCUGUUUAGACGCAGGCCUAUGAUAACGCAGGUGUGAUUCUUAGGUGUCGAACAUGACACAAAGAAGAGACACACUCUGGUUGAAAAGUUUUAAAGCCGUAGAGCGGUAUGUAAAUGACAGAGAGCCAGCCAGUAAUCACAGCCAAAACAGCCCACGGAUAAUGAGAAUAAAGCAAAAGAAAGAACGAGGGGGAAAACGAUGCAGCAAAGAAAACAAUGCUAAAACGACAAGUAGGAUUCGAUAUAUGAAGUAGAUUAGAUUUUAUGAAUCUGAAGGCUGGUUCUGACUCCAGACACAAAUCAGAUUGAGAGCGAAGCAAACAACCCUGGUCCCAGAAAAAGCUUUUAUCAUAUUUUAUAAGGAAUUACAGCAUCCUCCUCCACAAUAGAAUUGUAAAUUUACUCAUCAGUUAGUAUAAAAAAAAGGUUUUCUAAAUUAGUAUACUGUUGGUGACUAUGUCCAUAAUAGCAGCAUGGCAGUGGUUUGAGUCCUGAUUGCUUUGGUUUCUGCCAGUACUCCAGCUUCCUGCCACACUGAUGUAAUGUGUGCUGGUGUCUCUGUAUGAUAUAGACGUGACAGGCUGUUGAACUGUCAGGGAUGUACUCCAACACCCCAGCUGCCCCCACCCUGAAAAGGACUGAAAGGUCAUGCAUAUUCAGCUGCAGUUUCUACCUGCUAACUUGACUGUAUUCCUGACAUGACAUGGAAAAUUCAGCAGUACAGUAGGUGCUUGGUCACGACCCGUUCUUCCUUGCUCAAGAUUAAGAUUUUUUUAAAUAUGGUCCAUGUUCUUAGUUGACUAAGAAUUUCAUUUGUAUUUCCUUUCAGCCCUACUUGGUCCCUUUUUGGAGUGUGUUUCAGGGUUGCAGUGCAGGGUUUUUAAUUAAUAUGUGAGCUUAACUCUACCUACUUCCUGAAGUUUCAGGGUUUAUAAAGAGACCUUUUACCACACAGGCAGCCCUCCUCUCCAGAGAAUAUGGCUUUGCAAUAUAACAGUGCUUUAGGUUUUAUAUAUAAAUAUAACUUUCUGUUUUCCAGCUCCCAGCAUUGCGUGGGCACUCAAACGCAUCACCGGCUUUAAAGUGGCCAUUGUCUCCUGUAAAAAUUCUAGUAGUAAACGGACUUUGCUGAUGCAAGCAAAUAUCUCCUGAGAGUAGAAUAAAUACUCUGGAGUAAUUAGUGGUGAUGGUAAUGGAAUGAUGCCCUGUUACACAGGGCUUUGUUAAUCACAAUUACGUCGUCAGGGUUACAGCAGAACUGUCACAUCUCUGACUCAGUAGCUGGUUUCAUCCAUGUGACAGAAUCUUGGGCGGGAGAUGGACUCCUGGUGCCCAAAACCUUAUGGAAAAUGAUGGUUUCAUUUUGGCAUCAGACCUGAUUGUAUCAUCUAUUUGCAGGAGCGUAGUGUACAGUCAGUCUAAAAGAGUCAAGAGAAAGGAGAGGAGAUCAAAGGCAGCCUCCCAUGGAGCAAGGUGAUAAAUACAAGCCCACAGGUGGAGCAGCAGCAGCAGCAGCGGUGGCGUACUAUUUAGAGUUGCACCCUAAAUAGACCUCCCAGUAGGUGAAAGAAUUAUGCAACCUCAGCUGAUAUAUCAGCUGAUGGGGCUGUUUUCCAAUGCUGCGUUUUAGGAAAAACAAAAUGGAGCAGAAGAACAAAAAACAAAACAAAUAAAAAAAAGGACAGCAUCAGAUCAAACACCUCUGCUGGGCAACUGUGGUACCAGAACCAGAACUGGGUUUUUGUUAUCUUCACCAAUCAGAGGGGAGGCCUGUGUUCUGUAUUCAGUCUAUGGUUGUUGUUGUGUGUGUGGCCACAUCACAAAACCACUAGGACGUUUGCUUCUUCAGCUUCCAGUUGCCUUCAAACAUAAUCUACUGGCAUUCGAUGAAGACGAACCCAGACAGAAAAUGCAAAGACAGACAAUGAGUGAUCGCAAUAUUAGGUGCAUCUGCCUUUGUGUAUUUGGGAUGUCUUUACUUGCGGCUGAAUUCCAAAGGAUUAGUAAGUGGCUAAUCUGAAGCUCCAGUCUUUGACAAGCCGUGUGUCACUAAUCUCAAACACUCCAGAAUAAAGAGAUGGAAACACAAUCACCCUUUGGAUUAAACCUCUCCACACAGAUGCUUCUGAAGGGUGGAAGAAAAUCGGAGAAAUUGAUGCAACUCUCUCUGUCACUCUCUCUCUCUUUCUCUCACACAUACACACACACACACUCUCUGACGUCUCAGAUGAACCCUUGUGCUCUAGAAGUUCAUGUAUUGUACCCUCUCUUAACAACUCUUAGCCUACAUAAUGUUCUUUUGAUGUUAUAUGCCCUUUUAGCUGACAGCUUCUUUUCAUAGGAUUCCCACAGGAGUGCAGUCUGGAGACUUGCUAGCACAUGUUACAGUAAUCAUUUUUAACAGAGAUGAAGAUAUGGAGCGCCGUGACUCCUGCUGCUCCCUCAGCUCUUUUCACCCAACUCUGAUAUUGUUUGGGGACUCUGCGUCUGUUCUUGACACAAAUUAAUUCAUCCAAAGCAAAGUGCGGCCUCUCAUCGUGGACAAAGACGUUAUUGCACACAAAGCCACUAGACCAGAGGAGCCUGCACAUCCAGGUACAUGUCAGUGUACACAAAGAGUCUGAGAAACACCGCAGUGUAAACAGAGAGCAGGGAGGAAACAGCAGACAGGAGCGCCAUUGAUAAAGGCUGUUUGCUAUAAUUACAUAGACUGAAAUAACAAGAUACACAAUUUAUGCUGUUAUUCAUUUUUAACAUUUAACAAUCCACCAUCAAACCAGCAAUUUGUUAUUUAUUAAUUGAACCUCUACUGUUUCAUCCAAAAUACUUAAAAUUUGUUUUAAAGAUAUUUUGAAAUACGAAAAUACAUUAUAUAUUAUAUAACUACAGAAAUGUCAUAGCAGUAUUUUUCAACAGUGUUUUAGUUUUAUCUUUCCUUCUUUUUUUCCCCUCCCAUCUCUUUUCCCCUUUUCUCCUCUAAUCUCUCCUAUUCCACCUCCUCCUUCUCUCUUCCUCCCUCCCCUCUCCUCUGAUUACCCGGCCCUGAAGACCAUUAAAGUGAAAAUCCAGAGUUCAUAAACAACAAAUGAACUCCAUAUUCCCCGUGAUCCCCGUCACCAUUCAUUGUUCCCAAAUCAUUGCUGCCAUACCAUUAAGCAUUCCCUAAAAUUAGAUGUUCCUCUUUUAAUGACGACAUUCUUCUCCUCUGGACGGCUGUUCCACGCUGCUAAUUAGACACAUAACUGUUCACAUCUCAACUAUGCUUUGGUUUUUAUUGUGUUGUGGCUUUGAAAUGCUGCUGGGUCGGCUGUAUUUGCUCUCUUCACAUUGAUGGACGUCUUUAAUAUCAAACAGAACUGAUUUAGUGUUUAAUUACUUGAGUGGUGCUUAUUUAACAACAUGAAUAAUAACAUUGAAAUCAGGAUUUACUGCAGCCACAAAUCUACACUUCCAUGCUCACAGUCCCAAAGGAUGCCCGGAAGAAUCUCCAGCUAAUUGAAAGAUAAUUCCCUGAAAACAUAUGUUCUCUGCUAAUUGACUCUCUGUGUUCAUGUGUUUUUAACCACGUGGUCACAGAGAGUCACGUUUUAGUGAUUGAGGUGUGUUGCUUUUUUUUUUCUUACUUGAGUAGCACAGAUAUUAAACACAUCUUUUUCUGUCAAAUUAUCACCUUUUUUUCCCGCCGUGGUUAAUGUGCAGCGUUUGUUCUAACCUUUGGUAUUUUUUACACCAGAUACUUGGUACAAAUAUGCUUGUUCGGAACAAUAUAAAACCUGUGGGAGAGUAGUGAGAAUUCUGUAAAAAGGUCUCUGUGUCUGCACAGAAUAUAGUUAAGGCCUGUAAUUAAAUGAUUACUUUUGAGAAAUUCGGGGUUUGAAAUUUCAUCCACCAGAAAAGGUUUCACACCGUGAACCUAACACCUGUGCAAGUAAGAGCACACACACACACACACACACACACACUCACACUCCCAUAGAGAGGAGAGAGAACAGAAACUCACACACUCGUAAAGACCUCGAGUUUUUGUUGAAGGUCGUACUAACGUUGUGCACUGUCAAACUCCAAUAUUUAUCGAGAUGGAACAGAAUUAGAAAUUGAUGUAUGCAAUGCACUCCAAAAAAGUUGGGACACAGGUGGAGUGAGACUGAGAAGGCCAAACGAAAAACAUUUGUAGGGAGGGUAUUGACAAGGGCUGUCGAAAAAUUACACAUCAGCUUGGGGAAUUCAUCAGAAAAUUUCAAUCUUUCUGUCCUUGCAGCAUUCAGUAAAAAAAAAAAAAGUAUUUUUGGUCAAAUUUAGGAAUGUUGUUUUACCAAGAUUAUUCAAUAUUGAUAAUGAUUAAUCAUGAUUCGAAUCUUGAUUAAUACAAAUUAAUCAAGGGCUACCGUGUGAUUAUCUUAUAAACAUUUUAGUUAGCAGACUAGUUAUGAUCUAAAUGACGGUUCGGUUUUCCUUAAUAUUAAAAAAUGCCUGCCAGUUAAAAAAAAAAAGUAACACCAAUUUAAACACAUUUUCUUAUGUUAUAAAGAGUCUGGAGAAAUUGCUAAAAUUUAGAAACUGCUGCUGAAUGUGCAUGACCUUCAAGACCCUUUUUUUAAACAUUCGAGGGGGUGGACGAACCUUUCUGAGAGGAUAUCAGCCUUUGUGUUUUGGGUGAUCCAGUUUAGUGUAGACCACACCUGCACCACAGGAGUAUUUGUGGUAUAAGAAGAUUCUUGUACUUUCAGGCAUGCAGCUGAUCUUUUACCAGUCUUCAGUUCCACUCCAGUCAGUCUCUGUGGCCUGCUGUGGUGAGGAGGGAAGACUGAGUCAAGUGAGACAGUUUAUAACUGUUAAAAAGCAAAUGAACUGAGACCUUUGGUCUGAGCCGUUGAGUGGAAGCAUACAUAAUGAGCCUUAGGGAUCACUUCCACACACAGUAUUGUGCAGACUGUGUGUGUCCAAGUUGGCAAACACAAAACUCACGUAAACUCACACCCCCUCCACCAUCUGUCUCUGUUUGCUACAGCGUAAGCCCAUUACUGCUGUGAUAAGUGUUGUGGUGCUUAAGCUCAGGACUGGGACUAGAUGUGGACAUGCUGUCAGGUCUUGUGACUGGACUUGGCACCAGUGAAACGCAUGGAAACCUCGUCCAGAGGAAGAAAAGUGAUAACGCAAUAUAAACUACAACUGUAUGUAAAUUCCAAAUUCGGACGUUUCUACUUGUGGAGUGCUUGUCAGGGUCUAAUGAGAACCUCUGUUUUCAGGUUUAGAUAAAGUUAAAUCAAUUUUAGACGUAAAUCUCCCAGCAGGGUCAGCUGUGUAUCAAGAUGGGCUACCUGAUGAGGUCUCAUUAAUGUAUCAGCAAAUCUGACUUCAGACGUUAGCCAAGAGUGUGUUCCGAGUGUUCCGGGUAAAGGUGCUGCUAUUGGUUGAUUAAAUGUCCUCUCCUUGAGCUAUCUAAAGAACCUAAACAUAAAGGAGACUUGUUCAUAACACAACAGAACAGCCAUUGUUCAAUAGCGUUCAAUACGGCAGAGUCCGACCUGGACCCGUACUCCACCACAACAAUGGCAACAGUCAUCUUUGUCUGAAACGCUGUGUCACGUUUCCAGCUGUACUUAUGCUCAAUUCGACUUCUGUUGUUGGUGUUAAGGUCAGAAACCUGAGAUGUUUUACCAACUUCUCUUCUUUUCUUUCUGCGUGAGAAUUUGUAGGAACUUUUUUUCUCCCCCGUUGGACCCACAGUAAACCUGCACCCUUCCAGAACUAAUGAUUUUUAUACUUUGGCCGAAAGAUUUAACACUUGCCUCCGUGGAUGAAUCUGGGUAAGGUUCGGCUCAGUAGUUUUAUAGCUAUGUCAUCUGCAGUUCUAAUCAAAAAGAUUCCCCAGUUCUAAACCUCCUGCUGAGGAAACAAAGGAGUUAUUAUGUUUUUAAGUGGUCUCCAAUUACGGGUAAUUUCACUGCCUAUCUUAAAGCUAUUUGCUUUUCUUUGACUUUGCUCUGGCUGAGCAGAGCCAACGUCGUGCUUUCCAAAAACAAGUAGACAAGUCAGACAUACAGCAGAUGCACUCUCUUGGAAAGCCUCUCCUAAUUUCUUAUCAUGGAAAAUGAGAAACACAGUUAACUUAAUUGCUCCUGUAUCUUCCUCAUUAGUGUGUGUCUCACACACACUCAAUUACUCAGACCAUCACUCUUUCACUCCCACAAUUCCUCAGCCUUCAGUGACUGCAGUGAAUCAAAUUCUCAUCCACUGAGGAAGCAAGAAGAGUUAUGAGUGAGGAAAGUACGAGGGUAAAACUGUGUACUUGUGUGUAUCAGUUGUAUGUUUACUGGCGUUGUUCUUUAGAACUACUUUUCACAACAUACAUUACUCAAUGACCUUUGUACGUUAAUGUGAAUUUAUUAGACUGAUGUUAGCUUUGAUGGAUGCUCUGGGUUUUGGCAGCAGUCAUUUGUUGUUUUGUCAGAAUGAUUAGUUUAGAGAAUUGUUAUCACUCCGGGUAGCGCCGUUGUAACAGUUGAAGUGAUGUCGCUACUCCAUCUGAAAAUAAGGGGAGUGAAAAACUGGUAGAUAUACCAGAUACAUUUACUAGUGUCAGUAGCUGACCCUCUACAUAUCUGAAAUACCCAUAACUGUACUAGAAAAUAUGCACAACUCCAGCAACCCACUAUUCAUACACCAGUAGUUUGGGGGUAUUUUACAUACCACACACACAGACACGCACACACACAGAUUGUGGCUAAAUGUAUAGACCCCAAGAUCUUUGCGGAAGACAUUAAUAAUGAAAAAGUACUAACCACAAUUGCAGUGAGCUGCUAAAUGGUGUCCUGCUCUUCAGGACUAAGCGCUGACCCUAAAAGCAUUACCCAUAAUGCCCUAAUUACCCUAAUCCUCACCUCGUUAUAAUUGAGCUUCUAACCAAAAAUAAGGCAUAUUCUUAGUCUUUAGCCACAGCUUCUCAGUGCAGAUGGUCAGCCCUCUUCAAGGUCACAUGACCUUGACACUCCAUAUUCCUGGAGCUACAUUUAGCCAUAAGGCAUUUGGCUGGCGGAGCUGAGGCAAUUUCUGAAAUUGAUUUCAUUCCAAAUGGAGGAAACGAACAAAUUCUAAAAAUAUCUGCAGAUUACAAACAACACAUAAUCCCCAACUAGUGACAUGGUAGAAAAUUUGAUAGAUACAGUCAUUUCUACACACUGCAAUCAUGGUGAAAUGUGAUACCCUGCAAUGCAGAGAUUAUUGCAUGGUAUCAGUAUUGCACAUGGCAGCAAGAAAUGGUUUGCCUCUAAUAUGAAAUAAUGAAAAAAUUCCUGUCAGCAUUGAAUCACAUGAUCAUAUCCACAUGGAUAUGAUACUAGGUACUGGAUACUAUAAUGUGUUUUUGUAUCUUGUAUUGAAAUCUGUGGUCAAUCUAUGUACACGCUGAUGACUGAAUAUUUGCAAUAGUUCUGAGCAAGUCCUUUAAAUUGAUUUGGUGUAAUUUUGAAGAAACAAAACAACCAUACCGGAUCGUAUUCACAAGUAAUCACAUCAGACUAAUACUGUUGGUAUUCUUUAUAAAAUACUCACAGUGAUUGAAUAUGUCUAAAUCAGUUUAGUAAUGGAUACGUUUACUAACGAGCUCUCUCUGGCUACACAUAAUGUAGCUUUAGUUGUAAGUAACAUUGGAACUGAUAAAAGAAACAUUAUCAGGCAUUAGUUUGAUUGCAGUGCUGUAUUUUAAUUAACACUGUCGUGCUGUUGGCAAGACGGGCUGAGAGACACAUUUAAGUGGGAAGUGUUGAUAAGGAUAUACUUCUGCAUGGACUGCAGUGCAUACAAAUAAACUGGAUUUAAGGUUGUUUCGACACCACAGAAUGUGUUACUGUAGCCCCCGUUCAAAUACAAAGUACAAGUCAAAUAGUACAAGUACAAAAUCAAAUAGUUUGUUUUGCACUUUUGUUCUUUUUUUUUCCCCCAACACAUGACAUUGUAAUAAACAUACUGUAUUCAUUAUUUGAAAACCGCUGGCAGGGCUUUCCAGAUUUAUUAGCAUAAUGAAUAGUUUAAUCCCUGAAGUGUCAGCGGUGCUCCUCCGCUCCAUUAGAUACUUGUCAUUCCAAGCAGAUCACCUUUGAUGGGAGAGUUACAGGAAGGAGACAAAGGGAAGGAGAAUGUGAAGGAAACAGAAUGUGCGCCAGUGUGAGAUGGUGCGAGUUUGAGCUGUGCCUGUGGCUUGGUUGAGAUCCAGAGUGACGUGUUGCCGACCACUGCUGUGCCACUGCUGUGUGUCCUCUUACAGCAACACUUUGAUAAGAUAAGUGAGACAGGGAUUGGUUAAGGGCGUGAAGAAUGAGGGAAUUUGGGGAACGUUAGGGGGAGGAGGAGGCAGCAGGGUGGACGAUGCUGAAGAGAGGGAUUCCUACAUCCCAUGUGCUUCCCCUCGGUGGUAGCUCAGAAAAAUGGAGCAUAGAAAUUUCACAUAAUAGCUUUAUGAAUAUAUCACUUAUCCACCUUUACAAGAAAGACAAACAAAACCUUCACUGUCCUGUUUUGGAUAUAAACCAGCGUGUAGUUGCUCCAGUCACCAUCUAAUGCUGAUUUGCACUGUCAGACAAAGGCGCUGCUGAAAUUCAACCAUUUCAACCAGUUUUAACAUGUCCAUAAAUGGUCCUAAAGUGGUGAUGUUUCAAAAGGUCUUUUUUAUUUUGCCCUUUGAAAAGCAGCCUGAAUAAUAAAUGGAUGGUUCUCAUAUUUUUUCCCCAACACUUUUUUCCCUAGAAUAAUUGUGACUGAAGCAGUAAAACUGCCGAAACGUGCUGUGAAAAGCUUUUGAUGGCAGCAUUUUCUACUUCUAAAAAAAGUAAAGCUUACUCAUCUUGUAGGCUAGUGAAUUGUGCUACACCUAUACCAAUCGCUCUGUCAAAAGUUUCAUUUUUACAGUCCAAAAGGAAAGCAGGGCUUUUAUUCUAACUUUAGUCUCACUUUUCCGAAACAUAUUUGUGUAUCUCCCUUUGUCUCUCCUCCCUCACCUUUUGCUUCCGUUCCUUAUAAUCUAGGAUGUUUAAUUUUUUUCUCUCGCUCUCAACAUCUCGCCGCCUAGCAUCACCCGGGGCUUUCAUCUUGGCAGGGUGCUCCCUUUAUGAGAAAACUCCAAUUGGCAGACAAGCGGCCUUGUCAGACACCAUUCAUUGCACUUGCACAGAUAUGAAAAGUGUUUUAACAAGCACCGCUGAGUUUUGCUGUGCUGCAGAAACUGCAUACCAAUGGGAUUGCAGAUCUGGUGUCCAAAUUAAAGAGGCAGUAAAGAAUGGACAUGCUUUCGCUGACGUCCUUGUCCCACAGUGGGGUUCAGUGCGGCAUCAUCUACAGCAGUAGUUGUUAAAGUUUGGCCCUGUUGUCACAUUGGACGACUGUUACCUUAAAGAUAGAGAUGCAAUGAUUGCAAUUUAUUUUCCAGCCGAUUACGAUUUCCUUUAAUUAUCAGCUAAAACAUAAAUGUGUUCUUUUUAUUAUGAUAUGAAACAUUUUCUGCAAACCUUGUUCAAUGAGUCUGCAUGAUAUCAGUCUGUCCACUGAGCAGGACAAGGACAUAUACAUUCAAACUAAUUGCUAUUCUAAGAUUAGGAUUAGCCCGCAGCAAAAUGCUAAUGUAGUUAUGACAUGAAACAGCCCUGGUAAUGUAAGUCAAUUUAUUAGUGUUUUCAAACCAGGGAUGUUCGGCUGGACAACAGUUUUUUAGUGUUAAAUUAGCUUUGCCAUUCCGAAUGAUUUUACAUAUAUUACAGAGAGUUGAAACUUUCUUGGCUCACUGUAAAGUACUUAUGAGCUACAUGACAUGUUAGCAUCAGCUUGUAAGUGUAAGCUUCCUCCGAUUCUCUGAGAAAAAAAAAACGACAACAAAUGACGGGCUAGUCAGGAAUAAAGAGCGUCUACACAACAUUUCAAGUUUUAACAAUAACCUCCGAUGAUUUGAAUUCUUAUGUGUGCACUGAAUAGUGCAGUGUGUGAACAGUAACUGAUUCUCCUUUCCCUGUGAAACCCACACAGAUCUCAGCCUUGGAGGGUUUUUUCUACCAGAGCAGGAGUGAUGCACAAAAGGCAUUAAUCCAACAGAAGAAUGGUGGUUUGAUGUGAUGCCUUGACAUAAACCACCAAUGAGAGUUGAUGACAUACCCAUGUAAAUUCACUGUCUCCCACAAGGUUUCUUUAAUGGGCUUCAAUGCUUUUCUGAGCCAUGCAAAUCAUGGACAGGAUAUAGAUUACUCUGUGUUUGUUAGGCUUUAAAUCAGGAGGUGCUGAAAGAGGUGCUUCACUGGGGAAAUAAGGAGAGGCUCGUGGUUUGAUUUAAUUUUUCUUUUGAGCCUAACUAAGCUUUUUUUUUUUACACAGACCGUAACAGAUAUGGUACCCAAGACACCUGUAGGGCUUCAGACUGUGCAUUUAAAAUUAGCGAGGAACUGAUAGCACUUUGUGUUCCACACAACAGGGGACUAAAAAAAGGACAAUAUUUAGAGUCUCGGAGUAUUCAGUCAAUACCUAACAAAUGUGCCCUAAACAAUGCUGACUAGUAAUGAUCGUGUGCUUAACUUGUAACUCAUUCAGACAAUCCAAUCAGACUAAUUUAUUUCUAAAGCACAUUUAAGGUAUUGUUUGUAAGGUUUUCUUACGAAAUAACAAAUAUUUUCCCAAUAAAUUAUUUGUGGCCAUCAGAAAUAUAAAGUCAGAAGUUAUCAUUUAAAAAAAAAUUGACUGGACAUCAGAAGGAUAUAGUGAAUUUGGUGUUUGUUUUUAAGAACAACCUGGAUUACAGUCUUUAGAUGAGGUAAACAAGCAUGUUUUAAUGUAAUAUUAAGGAAAGGCUAUUAUUUAUUGCAACUAUUACUACAGUACUACUAAAAAUUAUGAAACAUGAGGAAAACCAAACUAAUAUUUUUAAAUAUGUGUGAAUGGCAGUUUGAGUUCCCCCUAGUUCUAUUUUAGCUGCUGUAGCAAAACCAAGUGGCUGGAAUUUGGGAAGCUCUAUCCCGAAAGUAGCUUGAUCUUCUGUCAGUGAGAGCAGAGGAACUAAGUGCUUGGAAUGAGUGGGUGUCAUCAUAAUUGAGUGUUGAACAUGAUGUACAAUGAUAUAAGCCACGAGGAUACUGGGUCUGAUAGUGUAUGAAGUGCCUGCUUUAUAGACUGUGACAUAUCAUUUCUUCCGUUCGUAGUGAUACAGAUCAUGUUGUUCCCUUCAGAGAGCAGCCAGCCUAUACUGAUGGAAGUGUGACCCCAGCAAGCUUCACCCUCCUCUGGUUCUUAUGCUGUGUCCUCUACACUGUUUGGAUGAAGUGGGGAGUUUUGAAUAAUAAUCUGCACCAAGGUUAUAUAGAUCUGGAUGGAGAAUCAUUUGCAUCAUCUCUCCGAGAGCUCAGGCCAAGAAUGUUUUCCUAGGCGAGCCAGCAGGUGUUAUAGCGUAAAUUUAAUGGCCAACAACUCCUCUUGAAAAUGAGGUCACAAACAAUGCAUGGAGUUUUAUUGCAUCUAUACAGUGCAUACACCCUUGCUUUAAUGGCAAUGUCAACAAAUACGAGCAGCUCAGCGUUAAGAGUUGGAAAUCUUAAAGUUCUACAACACAGGUAGAAAAAAAACAAACCCCUACAGAAGGUCACGUGUACAUUUUGACUCACAAGGCCAGGGUCUGCAGUAAAACCACAGAGUGAGGCCACAGCCGCUGUAUACCAGACUGAGGAAGCGAGUCUUGAACCUGUAUGGUUUAUUCUGUUUGAUUGUACCUGUGGCCCAUGAAUAAAACAUUCCAAGGAAGAAAUUCUGGGCCACAUGAAACCUGUUUACGUGCCACGGGUUAGAGCCGGGACAGGAAAAUAAAUAAGAAAAUGUGUCGAUUUAUCUUCUACCUCUUAGGACUUUUUAGCAUCACAGUGGAGCUAGAGUCAGCACUCAUCAGGGGAAGACAGGGUACAGACUGGACAGGUGGGUGGUCCCUUACAGGGCCAGGGUCCUGAUUCUGCAUGUUGUUGAACAUAAACAUAACGUCACAUUACUGCAAAAAAAUACAGACUUGUUUCGACUGUUUUUGCUCUUACUGCUGUAGGAGAACAUGACAUGACUGUCUGUACCAACAAGUAAAUUAAAUCAUGGUUCCCAUCAGUCAGCAGGCUUACUGGAGUUAGCUGCUCCGCUAGUUGUCAACUCACAUCUCCUUCGUGGCAAGCCUUUUCCGAUCAAAUGUCCAGCCACAGUCUGACUCUUUGUUGCUUGCAUUUCCUAUACUCACAGUUGAAUGCAUUAAAGUGUAUGUCCUACAGUCUUCUACUGUAGGUAGCCUACUAUCAUUUAGCAUUAUUUGAUGGUUUCAUACUCUGUUAUAGCAGUAUUUGCAAUUGGAAAGAAACAUUCCAAAUAGGAAUUCUGUCGAUACUGUGUUAUCUGUUAUUCAGAGAAAAGAAUGUGAUACGUUAAAGUUCCUCCAAAAUGUAUGUUCCUGUAAAGUGAGAGGUUUUAGCCGAUCUCCCUCCAUCUUUUGUGUUAUAUGAAGGAAUCUGGCUGUUCCCACAGUCUUGGCAAAUUCUGCCUUCCCAAAUCCUCUUUUCUUUUCUGUUGUCCUGCCAACGCUGAGUGAGAGAGGACAAGUGCUUUAUGGACUGGUCAUGCAUGAGUAAUAAGGGGCCCUCUGAUUCCUCUGUGUUGUUCCUGCCUUUGUGCCACAUAUAAACCUGGUCAUUAUGGUGUGGCCUUAAGUGGCCCCUUCGCUUUGUAGACAUUUAGCAACUUAAACUAAGCAUAUGUGAAGAAAAUAACCAAAAAAACAUAAUCCACUUGUAUUUAUUUCAAACUUUGUCAUUCUCUCCCUGCAUCUGCGGUGAAGCGUUACCAACGUUAACUUGCUGAAUCUGAUUUCACAUGCCUCCUGUGAUUCAACUGUCACUGUGGACAAACCCACCUAAUCCAAGACUAAUUAGUUAGUCACGCUUGUUAGCAGGCGUCAGAGGAUGACAGUUUUCUGCACAACACAAAGAGUUCAUGUAGUGGUUAGGAUUAUGUGGGUACAUUAGCCCAAUCUGUGUUGAUGUAGUA